rnacentral:rRNA from 1 species
ACUCCUACGGGAGGCAGCAGUAGGGAAUCUUCCACAAUGGGCGCAAGCCUGAUGGAGCAACACCGCGUGAGUGAAGAAGGGUUUCGGCUCGUAAAGCUCUGUUGUUAAAGAAGAACACGUAUGAGAGUAACUGUUCAUACGUUGACGGUAUUUAACCAGAAAGUCACGGCUAACUACGUGCCAGCAGCCGCGGUAAUACGUAGGUGGCAAGCGUUAUCCGGAUUUAUUGGGCGUAAAGAGAGUGCAGGCGGUUUUCUAAGUCUGAUGUGAAAGCCUUCGGCUUAACCGGAGAAGUGCAUCGGAAACUGGAUAACUUGAGUGCAGAAGAGGUAGUGGAACUCCAUGUGUAGCGUGGAAUGCGUAGAUAUAUGGAAGAACACCAGUGGCGAAGGCGGCUACCUGGUCUGCAACUGACGCUGAGACUCGAAAGCAUGGGUAGCGAACAGGAUUAGAUACCCCUGGUAGGAUAGCG